rnacentral:lncRNA from 1 species
CGGGCGUAAACAUAAUCACCAGGUGUGCUGGGACCAAGUCUCACACAUAUGAUGAAUCAUGGCACAGGAUCGAAUGUCACAUCUUUACUACAUAACAGGAGUUCUAUACAAAAUAAUUAAGUAUUUACAUUAUAAGGAGACAACGGUCCAGCAACCCAAAGUUGACUGGGAGACGACGACCUAGACCUCUCACGAACUCGCACAGCAUCCUUCAAGCGCCUCGUCCUGUGGUACCUGUUCUUGACCUGUGGGGGGGUGUGAGACAGCAAGAGUGAGCUCACAUACGUUCAUCGCUCAACAAGUUGUGGGGAAUAAUGUGCAUGAACUCGCCAAAGGUGGGAGCUCACGUGAAGUGUAAGGCUUACCAACGGAGAUGGUUGAAGCUGAGCAUUGCUUUUAAAGUUGGUCAAAAUUUUAUUAGCAAUUACUAAGUAUAAGUAAAUACCAACUCAAUUAAGUAGUAGAACAGAAGUAACAACAUCACCUGCGAUGCAAUGCAUAUGACAAAUUGAAUUUAAGUUCCAUAGAUUAAUCAUGUGAGGGUCCGAGCCGCUCAUGACCGUGAGCAUGGCUAGUAUACCAGUUUUACACUCUGCAGAGGUUGCGCAUCUUUACCCACAAGUCAUGUUACCCAUCUGCCAAGGGAUCGCGACUUCCCAUACACCUCUACCGAGGAGGCGAGGCAGGGUAACACUACGAGGCCUUUACAAAGUUCCACUAGCUUCAGAAAACCUGCUACAGUUUAUAGGAAGCUCCAAUGCAGGAAUCCCUUGCAGGACCGCCAUCGUAGCAAAAUCCUCCCGAGGGCCUCCCUACACUGACCACUCCCCUACUGCCCUUGCCCCUUUCGGGUAAGGUAGUCCUCCACUAGCUUUCCUAAUUAAUCAGCCAAGGGCGUCCCAUUAAACCCUUAUGGUAGCACUGUUUUCCCGGGUGGUCGCUCCAUGUUCCAAUUAACAUAAUGAUCUUAUCAUGAACGAUAAAUAACAACGGAUAACAAAAGUAUAAUCAUGAGUAAUGUAUCUUCAUACCCAAAACCACAUAAAGCACUAGCAAGUACUACCCAAAAAGUUCAGUGGUAACAAGGUACAAAGAUAAUCAAACUAGGGUAACCUAUUGGGUCCCAUCAAAAUUAACCUAUGCAGAUCAUUAUGAUUAAUCAGAACAUGGCUGGGUAAAAAGAAGUGAUCAAGGGCACAACUUGCCUGGGACUUGAGAUUCCAGAUACCAACUUGCUUUUCAGAUGACACGUGUCCUCGCGCUAGUCGUAGCAAUACAAGCAAACAUGGUAUAGAUAAAAUUAACAUCACACCAAACAUAAGAACAAACUGAGUAAUAAUGAUCUACGCGCUGCUACGAGACUAACGCAACUUGAACGGAUCAAAUCAGAGUUAAAACGGAGGAGUUAUGAUUUUCUGAAGAUUAUAUGUGUUUUGUACAAGAUUAAAUAGGAUAUAAAUUUUAAUGUGACAUUCAUGUCAAAACAGUGGUACUAAUUGAUAAACAAUAUUAUUAUAAAAUUAUAGAAACUAGAAUGGAUCAAUUUGGAGUUCAUAUGAAGUUUCUGUGAUUUAUACAACUUCUAGCAAUUAUUUUUGUAUUAAAAUCAAUUUCUAAAAUUAAAUAACUGAAUUCUCAGAGCUGUGGACUGGGCGCACAAAAUCUAGACAACCCGGGGGCCGCUACAUGAAUUUUCCUAAGACUCAGAGGUAUUCCGCGAGGACGGCGGGUUGUUUUUAGGAAAAUCUGGGGGCUCUUAUGCAUAAUAGGCACGGCGAAGGGGUAUCCUUUCAUCUAGGCCGCGCGAUCUGAUUUCAACGAUCCAGAUUAUAAUCCGAGCCCCGCGAACCGGUACAGGCUCACAACCGUUGGAUCCGAGAUCCACGGCACAGAUCACUUCCAUCCGAACGCUGCUGAACUUCUAAUCGUGGCCGCCCGAUCUUCAUCUAAUGGACCGGAUCAACUCACGCGAAGGGAUACAUGAAUUCUAUUCACAGCCGCAUGAUACCGGAUCAACGACCCAGCACCAUCUCCUUCCUCUCGUCGCUUAGAUCGACGGCCAAGCGCGGCGGCAGUACACACCGGUGAGUCCCAGCCCGGUGCACCGGUGAACUACCCAUGUGCCUACUAGCAAAACACGACACAGAGAACAGAGGGAAUCACCCAGCUGGGAGUUCUUACCUAGACUCGGCAGGUGGCAGGACUGCCCACACGCUACGGUGCUGGCUCACUACAACAGGUUCGACCGGGGCCCAGGACCUUCUCCGCGCUCGAGAGCGACGCAGAUGUUCGCACGAUGCCUCCCUGCACCCCUCUUUCCGACGAACACGGCGACACGAACGGAAGCUAGAACUUGGCGUUUGCAUGGAAGGGCUAUGGCAGCUACCGGAUAGGAGAUGCCUCUGUUCCUAUUUAUAACCCAAAGAAGGUGGGCUGGCGUCUGGCUGGCAAGCCCGACGGUUACGGAGGUGAGUCUGUUACGAUCUUGACGGCACGAUUUUGUUAAGUCAUCCCCACAAGCAGCGUCA